AGUGGCGGACGGGUGAGUAACGCGUGAGAAUCUGCCUUGGGGUCGGGGACAACCACUGGAAACGGUGGCUAAUACCGGAUAAGCCGAUUGGUGAAAGAUUUAUUGCCCGAAGAGGAGCUCGCGUCUGAUUAGCUAGUUGGUGAGGUAAGAGCUCACCAAGGCAGCGAUCAGUAGCUGGUCUGAGAGGACGAUCAGCCACACUGGGACUGAGACACGGCCCAGACUCCUACGGGAGGCAGCAGUGGGGAAUUUUCCGCAAUGGGCGAAAGCCUGACGGAGCAAGACCGCGUGAGGGAGGAAGGCUCUUGGGUUGUAAACCUCUUUUCUCAGGGAAGAAGCUCUGACGGUACCUGAGGAAUCAACCUCGGCUAACUCCGUGCCAGCAGCCGCGGUAAUACGGAGGAGGCAAGCGUUAUCCGGAAUUAUUGGGCGUAAAGCGUCCGCAGGUGGCGAUUCAAGUCUGCUGUCAAAGCACGGGGCUUAACUCCGUAAAGGCAGUGGAAACUGAAUAGCUAGAGUGCCGUAGGGGUAGAGGGAAUUCCCGGUGUAGCGGUGAAAUGCGUAGAGAUCGGGAAGAACAUCGGUGGCGAAAGCGCUCUACUGGACGGCAACUGACACUCAGGGACGAAAGCUAGGGGAGCGAAUGGGAUUAGAUACCCC
rnacentral:rRNA from 1 species